rnacentral:misc_RNA from 1 species
UUGUGUGGACUGCAAAUAAAAUGAAUUGAAAAGGACGCGCUCGUUGGUAUCGCUGUUUGGAUAGUUGCUCACGCCUCACAGUUGGCCUCAGUUUUGGACGGUUUCAAUCGGAAUAUAACUCCCCAGCACACCAAAACACGUCGAAAACUAAGGUCUAUUGUGGACAACACUACGGAUAUGAUAUAUUCUUGGAUGAACAGACCGAAGGUCACUUUUCUUGGGCACUAUAUUUGUUGAAUUAGCUCCGCCUUAGCAUGUUCAAAAAUAAAGGACAAGUGUGCAAACGAGUUAUUGAACGAAUAUCUAUCGGUUGAACUCACCUGCAACGGAAAGACCAAGAACAAAUUCAUUAGCGAGUCAGGCACAUUAUCCGCAAUUAGUUAGGCCCCAGCAGACAAAUCUGCAAAGCAAGCAAACAAACUGCGAACUGCUAAACCAUAAAACCAGAAAAGUCGUCCAACUUUUCCAGCAAACGACCCAACAACAACCGCCCGAAAAAAAGCCCGCUCCUCCCCCUCACCGAUUUCGUCCGAACAAGGAUGCUGUCCUGGAGCUGCUUCCUCGUGGCGAGUAUAUCAAAACUUGUUCCUUGUUUGCCGCAGUUUUGUGCGAGCGGGCAGCGCGGAAAGUUUGCUUCUGCGGAAGCUAGGCGGGUGGCUAUCGGAAAUUCCGUGUUAUGCGCCGCCUUGCAUUUGUGUUUUCGAUGGUCCUGCAGCCGGACCGCCGGUGUAGGCAGUCCUGUCAACGGUGACCGGCGGAUGUCGGGCAGCUGGAUUUUAACGCUAGACUAUAGACGGUGGAGAGAUAUGGCACCUGAGGAUUGGGCUUGGUUUCAGCAGCAAAACGACGACACGUGGUCCACCAUCCAAGAAGGAGUGCAAGUGGAAGUGGAAGUGGAAGGAGCAGAGAUGCGACAGGGCGCAAACCACUUAAGUGCCAAAGCAAUUUAAAGCCGAGGCCAAAAUGCCAAAACGAAUUUGCUCCGCAGUCAGAGGAUGCCACAGAGGGUGGGUGGUCGAAGGCUCCAAAAACCGGAAGGUAACGCAUGAUGGCUCUAUGCCCGAGUGGGUGUGUGCGGCUUGGCUUACAUAUGUACGUACUUUGUGUAAAUAUGUGUCUAACAUAUUUUGCAAAAAUAAAC